GAUGAACGCUGGCGGCGUGCCUAAUACAUGCAAGUCGAGCGAACGGACGAGAAGCUUGCUUUUCUGAUGUUAGCGGCGGACGGGUGAGUAACACGUGGAUAACCUACCUAUAAGACUGGGAUAACUUCGGGAAACCGGAGCUAAUACCGGAUAAUAUUUUGAACCGCAUGGUUCAAAAGUGAAAGACGGUCUUGCUGUCACUUAUAGAUGGAUCCGCGCUGCAUUAGCUAGUUGGUAAGGUAACGGCUUACCAAGGCAACGAUGCAUAGCCGACCUGAGAGGGGGAUCCGCCCCCACGGAACGUGAACACCGUCCCGGCGCCUAAGGGAAGGAGCAGUAGGGAAUCCUACGCAAUGGGCGGAAACCUUGCCGAAGAACCGCGGGUGAGUGAUGGAAGUCCUCCGAUCGGAAAAACCUUUUAUUAGGGAAGAACAUAUGUGUAAGUAACUGUGCACAUCUUGACGGUACCUAAUCAGAAAGCCACGGCUAACUACGUG
rnacentral:rRNA from 1 species